UUUUUUUUCUUAAAUUGACUAAACUCUGUUUUUUUUUUUCUUUCAUUUCCUAUCCUAAUAUGUUCUUCCACUUUACGUUUUCAAGUCAAAAACUCUUCAUUGUUCUCACAUCCUUAAGAGGCAAACAUCAUCACCGUAAGAGAUGGCAGUGGAACGACAUAGCUUGAUUCGUUUGCGUGUGUUCAUAGAUCUACGCUGCGGUUCUCAUUAUCCGUUUUCAUUGGUGCAGGAGACUAAAUUAUCUCUCUGUACAUAGAUGUAUGUUAGGAUAUAUAUGAGAAUGAAUGACGUAUGUAUACAGAUGUAUAGGGUUACAAUUAGAUGUAUGAUAGGGUAUUAGUGAAAAUGAAUGAUGUAUGUAAUAGAUGUAUGUAUAGUGCUAGUUAUGUGCGUGUGUGUUGUCUUAAAUACUUAGAUGUGUGAUAGGGUAUUGGUGAAAAUGAAUGAUGUAUGUAAUAGAUGUAUGUAUAGGGCUAUUGUGUCGUGUGUGUGUGAGUGUGUUGGCUUAAAUACUUAGAUGUAUGAAUAGGGAGCUAAUGUAAAGGUAUAUAAUGUGUGUGUGUGUGUGUUGAUA